rnacentral:rRNA from 1 species
GAUGAACGCUGGCGGCGUGCUUAACACAUGCAAGUCGAACGAUGAUGCCCAGCUUGCUGGGUGGAUUAGUGGCGAACGGGUGAGUAACACGUGAGUAACCUGCCCUUGACUCUGGGAUAAGCCUGGGAAACUGGGUCUAAUACCGGAUACGACCAUCUGGCGCAUGUCAUGGUGGUGGAAAGCUUUUGUGGUUUUGGAUGGACUCGCGGCCUAUCAGCUUGUUGGUGGGGUAAUGGCCUACCAAGGCGACGACGGGUAGCCGGCCUGAGAGGGUGACCGGGCCACCUGGGGCCUGAGACCCGGCCGGGCCCCCGCGGGGGGGAAGAGGGGGGAAAUUUGGCACAGGGGGCGCACGCCGGAGGAAGCGCCCCCGGGGGGGGGAGAGCGGCUUUCGGUUUUAAACCCUCUUUCGGAAGGGAAGAAGCAAAAGGGAGGGUCCCGAAAAAAGAGGCCCGGGCAAACUACGUC